AUUGAACGCUGGCGGCAGGCCUAACACAUGCAAGUCGAACGGCUGAAGGGAGCUUGCUCCUGGAUCCAGCGGCGGACGGGUGAGUAAUGCCUAGGAACCUGCCUGGUCGUGGGGGAUAACGUCCGGAAACGGGCGCUAAUACCGCAUACGUCCUGAGGGAGAAAGUGGGGGAUCUUCGGACCUCGCGCUAUCAGAUGGGCCUAGGUCGGAUUAGCUAGUUGGUGGGGUAAAGGCCUACCAAGGCGACGAUCCGUAACUGGUCUGAGAGGAUGAUCAGUCACACUGGAACUGAGACACGGUCCAGACUCCUACGGGAGGCAGCAGUGGGGAAUAUUGGACAAUGGGCGAAAGCCUGAUCCAGCCAUGCCGCGUGUGUGAAGAAGGUCUUCGGAUUGUAAAGCACUUUAAGUUGGGAGGAAGAGGAGUAAGUUAAUACCUGGCGGUUUUGACGUUACCAACAGAAUAAGCGCCGGCUAACUUCGUG
rnacentral:rRNA from 1 species